AGUGAACGCUGGCGGUAGGCCUUACACAUGCAAGUCGAACGGCAGCACAGACAUCGCUUUCUCUUACGGGUGCCGAGUGGCGGAUAGUGUAUGAAUACGUCCGAAUUUACUUUUUCUUGGUACGCGACAUAGUGACUCUUACCCUAAUCCCCCUACCGGCCUACGCGUGAAAUCAUAAGAUCUUCCGACCUUGCACCAUUCAAUGUGCCGAUGUCGGAUUAGCUAGUUGGCGGGGUAACGGCUCACCAAGGCGACGAUCCGUAGCUGGUUUGAGAGGAUGACCAGCCACACUGGGACUGAGACACGGUCCAGACUCCUACGGGAGGCAGCAGUGGGGAAUAUUGGACAAUGGGCGCAAGCCUGAUCCAGCCAUACCGCGUGGGUGAAGAAGGCCUUCGGGUUGUAAAGCACUUUUGUUAGGAAAGAAAAGCAGCAGGUUAAUACCCCGUUGAUCUGACGGUACCCAAAGAAUAAGCACCGGCUAACUUCGUG
rnacentral:rRNA from 1 species